rnacentral:rRNA from 1 species
GAUGAACGCUGGCGGCGUGCCUAAUACAUGCAAGUCGAGCGAACAGACGAGGAGCUUGCUCCUCUGACGUUAGCGGCGGACGGGUGAGUAACACGUGGAUAACCUCCCUAUAUGACUGGGAUAACUUCGGGAAACCGGAGCUAAUACCGGAUAAUCUAUUGAACCGCAUGGUUCAAUAGUGAAAGACGGUUUUGCUGUCACUUAUAGCUGGAUCCGCGCCGCAUUAGCUAGUUGGUAAGGUAACGGCUUACCAAGGCGACGAUGCGUAGCCGACCUGAGAGGGUGAUAGGCCACACUGGAACUGAGACACGGUCCAGACUCCUACGGGAGGCAGCAGUAGGGAAUAUUCCGCAAUGGGCGAAAGCCUGACGGAGCAACGCCGCGUGAGUGAUGAAGGUCUUCGGAUCGUAAAACUCUGUUAUUAGGGAAGAACAAAUGUGGAAGUAAAUAUGCACGUCUUGACGGUACCUAAUCAGAAAGCCACGGCUAACUACGUG